rnacentral:lncRNA from 1 species
UUCCGUGUUUAGUAGUACCCCCCCUUUACCACCCUCUUAUUUGAUCAAAUUUAGAAGAAUGCUGUUGUUUUGACAUUCUAUCAGACUUUUACCAACAGACUUCUCUUAUCUUUCUUUAAUCUAUCUAAAUCAGAUUCAUUUUUUUCACAUGUCUUGUUUAAUGAUUUUAUUUCUACUUUUUGUUGGCCUAGUUCAUUUUGUUUCUCAUCAAUUAUUCUAACUUUUUAAUUUUUUUAUCCCUUCUUCUAAUUUUUCUACUUAUAUUUCUUGGCCCAAAACUUGCCAAUUGCUCAUUCAUAUCUUGCAAUUUAUCUAAAUUGGUGUCUAUCUGGUUUGAUAAGUUAAGUUUAAUUUUUUUCCCAAGAUUUAAAUUCCCUUUUUAGGUGCAAUGUCUCUUUACAUUUUUCCCUGCUAUAUCUAAAAGUCUUAACAAUAUAUGACUCUAAGUCUCAAAAUGUUCAAUUUGCAACUUUAAAUUGUCUAAAUUAAAAUCAGUUUCUUUGAGUUGUCUCUUUAAUUUCACAUUUUCACCAACAGCUCUG